UGCGAAGUGUCCGCACAGUGUCCCCCUCGCGCUGCGAGGGGUUAACGGGAAGCCGGUGAUCCCCAGGAAAAUCCGGCGCUGCCCCCGCAACGGUGAUCGAGUAAAGAUCCCACCCCCGGUCCGCCACAUGGUCGGGACCGGAGCCACUGCGCUAGCGCGCGGGAAGGUGGUGGAAUCGAGGCACGUCCUCGCUCGUCAGCCCGGAGACCGGCUCUGCGGACCCGGCGCCG
rnacentral:ncRNA from 2 species